AGGUGACUCUCCUGAUGAUGAUGU
rnacentral:siRNA from 1 species